UCUGUAUGUGUUUCCGGGGCAACAAUGUUAGCAGGGGGUUCAGGUAACCUAGCGGUUAGAGAGGCAAGCUAGCAACUGGACGAUUGUUAGUUUGAAUCCCGUGUCUGACAGUAAAAAUCUAGCCUAAAGUGAGCUGGAAACUGGAAGGUUGCUGGUAUAAAAUUGUAGAUGCCACAUUCCGUUGUGUCCUUGAGCAUGGUACUUUCCAGAGGCGCCAAGUGUAGAAAUGAUUGGCUAAUUUGAUAAAGAGUGCAUAAAAUAUAUCAAACAAAUACUGAGCUAUAUUGUACACAAAAAAAACUUUGGAAAAUUAUAUAAUUUUAUACUAAUAAAAGUAAUCUUUAAAAACAAACAAAUUUAAUCAUAUUUUUUCUCUCAAAAAGAUAAGGGUCAAAAUGAUUAACCACCGCGGUUUUCAAUACUACGGCACCCUCCCCCUUACGAGGAUAAUGUCCCGGAACCUUUUUCUAAAAUGUUUAAUCACAUCCUUCUUUUUGAGGCUAAACCCACCAAUCCAGGUGCUGUUUAGUAAACUGACCGGUUCUAAUCCAGGUGCUGUUUAGUAACCUCCACUGACCGGUUCUAAUCCAGGUGCUGUUUAGUAAACUGACCGGUUCUAAUCCAGGUGCUGUGUAUUAAACUGACCGGUUCUAAUCCAGGUGCUGUUUAGUAACCUCCACUGACCGGUUCUAAUCCAGGUGCUGUUUAGUAAACUGACCGGUUCUAAUCCAGGUGCUGUGUAUUAAACUGACCGGUUCUUAUCCAGGUGCUGUUUAGUAAACUGACCGGUUCUAAUCCAGGUGCUGUGUAGUAAACUCCACUGACCGGUUCUAAUCCAGGUGCUGUGUAGUAAACUCCACUGACCGGUUCUAAUCCAGGUGUUGUUUAGUAAACUCCACUGACCGGUUCUAAUCCAGGUGCUGUGUAUUAAACUGACCGGUUCUAAUCCAGGUGCUGUUUAGUAAACUCCACUGACCGGUUCUAAUCCAGGUGUUGUUUAGUAAACUCCACUGACCGGUUCUAAUCCAGGUGCUGUGUAGUAAACUGACCGGUUCUAAUCCAGGUGCUGUGUAUUAAACUGACCGGUUCUAAUCCAGGUGCUGGUUAGUAAACUCCACUGACCGGUUCUAAUCCAGGUGCUGUUUAGUAAACUGACCGGUUCUAAUCCAGGUGCUGUUUAGUAACCUCCACUGACCGGUUCUAAUCCAGGUGCUGUGUAUUAAACUGACCAGUUCUAAUCCAGGUGCUGUGUAGUAAACUCCACUGACUGGUUCUAAUCCAGGUGCUGUGUAUUAAACUGACCAGUUCUAAUCCAGGUGCUGUUUAGUAACCUCCACUGACCGGUUCUAAUCCAGGUGCUGUGUAGUAACCUCCACUGACCGGUUCUAAUCCAGGUGCUGUUUAGUAAACUGACCGGUUCUAAUCCAGGUGCUGUGUAGUAAACUCCACUGACCGGUUCUAAUCCAGGUGCUGUGUAGUAAACUGACCGGUUCUAAUCCAGGUGCUGUGUAGUAAACUGACCGGUUCUAAUCCAGGUGCUGUUUAGUAAACUGACCGGUUCUAAUCCAGGUGCUGUGUAGUAAACUGACCGGUUCUAAUCCCGGUGCUGUGUAGUAAACUGACCGGUUCUAAUCCAGGUGCUGUGUAUUAAACUGACCGGUUCUAAUCCAGGUGCUGUGUAGUAAACUCCACUGACCGGUUCUAAUCCAGGUGCUGUGUAGUAAACUGACCGGUUCUAAUCCAGGUGCUGUGUAUUAAACUGACCGGUUCUAAUCCAGGUGCUGUGUAGUAAACUCCACUGACCGGUUCUAAUCCAGGUGCUGUGUAGUAAACUGACCGGUUCUAAUCCAGGUGCUGUGUAGUAAACUCUACUGACCGGUUCUAAUCCAGGUGCUGUGUAGUAAACUGACCGGUUCUAAUCCAGGUGCUGUGUAUUAAACUGACCGGUUCUAAUCCAGGUGCUGUGUAGUAAACUCCACUGACCGGUUCUAAUCCAGGUGCUGUGUAGUAAACUGACCGGUUCUAAUCCAGGUGCUGUGUAGUAAACUGACCGGUUCUAAUCCAGGUGCUGUUUAGUAACCUCCACUGACCGGUUCUAAUCCAGGUGCUGUUUAGUAAACUGACCGGUUCUAAUCCAGGUGCUGUUUAGUAACCUCCACUGACCGGUUCUAAUCCAGGUGCUGUUUAGUAAACUGACCGGUUCUAAUCCAGGUGCUGUGUAUUAAACUGACCGGUUCUAAUCCAGGUGCUGUUUAGUAACCUCCACUGACCGGUUCUAAUCCAGGUGCUGUUUAGUAAACUGACCGGUUCUAAUCCAGGUGCUGUGUAUUAAACUGACCGGUUCUUAUCCAGGUGCUGUUUAGUAAACUGACCGGUUCUAAUCCAGGUGCUGUGUAGUAAACUCCACUGACCGGUUCUAAUCCAGGUGCUGUGUAGUAAACUCCACUGACCGGUUCUAAUCCAGGUGUUGUUUAGUAAACUCCACUGACCGGUUCUAAUCCAGGUGCUGUGUAUUAAACUGACCGGUUCUAAUCCAGGUGCUGUUUAGUAAACUCCACUGACCGGUUCUAAUCCAGGUGUUGUUUAGUAAACUCCACUGACCGGUUCUAAUCCAGGUGCUGUGUAGUAAACUGACCGGUUCUAAUCCAGGUGCUGUGUAUUAAACUGACCGGUUCUAAUCCAGGUGCUGGUUAGUAAACUCCACUGACCGGUUCUAAUCCAGGUGCUGUUUAGUAAACUGACCAGUUCUAAUCCAGGUGCUGUUUAGUAACCUCCACUGACCGGUUCUAAUCCAGGUGCUGUGUAUUAAACUGACCAGUUCUAAUCCAGGUGCUGUGUAGUAAACUCCACUGACUGGUUCUAAUCCAGGUGCUGUGUAUUAAACUGACCAGUUCUAAUCCAGGUGCUGUUUAGUAACCUCCACUGACCGGUUCUAAUCCAGGUGCUGUGUAGUAACCUCCACUGACCGGUUCUAAUCCAGGUGCUGUUUAGUAAACUGACCGGUUCUAAUCCAGGUGCUGUGUAGUAAACUCCACUGACCGGUUCUAAUCCAGGUGCUGUGUAGUAAACUGACCGGUUCUAAUCCAGGUGCUGUGUAGUAAACUGACCGGUUCUAAUCCCGGUGCUGUGUAGUAAACUGACCGGUUCUAAUCCAGGUGCUGUGUAUUAAACUGACCGGUUCUAAUCCAGGUGCUGUGUAGUAAACUCCACUGACCGGUUCUAAUCCAGGUGCUGUGUAGUAAACUGACCGGUUCUAAUCCAGGUGCUGUGUAUUAAACUGACCGGUUCUAAUCCAGGUGCUGUGUAGUAAACUCCACUGACCGGUUCUAAUCCAGGUGCUGUGUAGUAAACUGACCGGUUCUAAUCCAGGUGCUGUGUAGUAAACUCCACUGACCGGUUCUAAUCCAGGUGCUGUGUAGUAAACUGACCGGUUCUAAUCCAGGUGCUGUGUAUUAAACUGACCGGUUCUAAUCCAGGUGCUGUGUAGUAAACUCCACUGACCGGUUCUAAUCCAGGUGCUGUGUAGUAAACUGACCGGUUCUAAUCCAGGUGCUGUGUAGUAAACUGACCGGUUCUAAUCCAGGUGCUGUGUAGUAAACUCCACUGACCGGUUCUAAUCCAGGUGCUGUGUAGUAAACUCCACUGACCGGUUCUAAUCCAGGUGCUGUGUAUUAAACUGACCGGUUCUAAUCCAGGUGCUGUGUAUUAAACUGACCGGUUCAAAUCCAGGUGCUGUGUAGUAAACUGACCGGUUCUAAUCCAGAUGCUGUGUAGUAAACUCCACUGACCGGUUCUAAUCCAGGUGCUGUGUAGUAAACUCCACUGACCGGUUCUAAUCCAGGUGCUGUGUAGUAAACUCCACUGACCGGUUCUAAUCCAGGUGCUGUGUAGUAAACUGACCGGUUCUAAUCCAGGUGCUGUGUAUUAAACUGACCGGUUCUAAUCCAGGUGCUGUGUAGUAAACUCCACUGACCGGUUCUAAUCCAGGUGCUGUGUAGUAAACUGACCGGUUCUAAUCCAGGUGCUGUGUAGUAAACUGACCGGUUCUAAUCCAGGUGCUGUGUAGUAAACUCCACUGACCGGUUCUAAUCCAGGUGCUGUGUAGUAAACUGACCGGUUCUAAUCCAGGUGCUGUGUAGUAAACUCCACUGACCGGUUCUAAUCCAGGUGCUGUGUAGUAAACUCCACUGACCGGUUCUAAUCCAGGUGCUGUGUAUUAAACUGACCGGUUCUAAUCCAGGUGCUGUGUAUUAAACUGACCGGUUCAAAUCCAGGUGCUGUGUAGUAAACUGACCGGUUCUAAUCCAGAUGCUGUGUAGUAAACUCCACUGACCGGUUCUAAUCCAGGUGCUGUGUAGUAAACUCCACUGACCGGUUCUAAUCCAGGUGCUGUGUAGUAAACUCCACUGACCGGUUCUAAUCCAGGUGCUGUGUAGUAAACUGACCGGUUCUAAUCCAGGUGCUGUGUAGUAAACUGACCGGUUCUAAUCCAGGUGCUGUGUAGUAAACUCCAGGGGCCUCAUUUAUGACUAUUGCGUAAAUGUUACAAUAUUUCC